UGCCCUGUUGUGUAAUGGUAGCACCACAGAUUCUGGUUCUGUUUGUCUGGGUUCGAAUCCUAGCGGGGCAACCA
rnacentral:tRNA from 1 species